rnacentral:rRNA from 1 species
GACGAACGCUGGCGGCGUGCUUAACACAUGCAAGUCGAACGGAAAGGCCCUUCGGGGUACUCGAGUGGCGAACGGGUGAGUAACACGUGGGUGAUCUGCCCUGCACUUUGGGAUAAGCCUGGGAAACUGGGUCUAAUACCGAAUAGGAUCAUGCUCUUCAUGGGGUGUGGUGGAAAGCUUUUGCGGUGUGGGAUGGGCCCGCGGCCUAUCAGCUUGUUGGUGGGGUAAUGGCCUACCAAGGCGACGACGGGUAGCCGGCCUGAGAGGGCGACCGGCCACACUGGGACUGAGAUACGGCCCAGACUCCUACGGGAGGCAGCAGUGGGGAAUAUUGCACAAUGGGCGCAAGCCUGAUGCAGCGACGCCGCGUGAGGGAUGACGGCCUUCGGGUUGUAAACCUCUUUCAAUAGGGACGAAGCGCAAGUGACGGUACCUAUAGAAGAAGGACCGGCCAACUACGUGCCAGCAGCCGCGGUAAAAC